AAGGCAGUAUCUGAGGCAAGGAACUCAGGUAUUUCAAAACCUCCCCAUGCCCAUGAAAUACAAGGUCCCUGUUGGAGGGCAACAAGCUACAGAGGCUGGAGGACUAGAUCUGGACUGAGCCAAGGCCCAGAAGCUCAGGAAGUAUGCGAGGCACACACAAGCUCUGUGGGGAGGUCUCCAUCCACCAUCCACCACCCACUGACUGCAUGCUUGCUGCAAGCCAGGACCCUGCUACGCGCUUCCUUCACAUGCAAUCUCCCUUAAUUCUCACCCGAGAUGCAGAGCUGAGUGACUCACUCCUAGGUCAUGUAGGUGUUAAGGGAUGGAACCACAUGGUACACAGAGGCCUGUCUGCGACUACAGCACAUGGCAUUGAACGAGCAGGGCGAGGUUCAAGAUUCAUGGUCUCCAGGAUCUGAGGGAAGCAGCUGGCUCCCCUCCCCACCACGCCCCAGCAGGCGGCCAUUCUCUUGGCCCCCUCCCAAGGAUACCACCUAGCCCUGGUCUGAGAACAAAGUGGAAAGAGUCCUUCUGUCUGCUGGCUGCUUCUGGGUGGGAGAAUGGCUGUUCUCAGUGGUGUGGACACAGAUUUCCACGAGGACGUGUAUGCAGCUGGCGCUUGCCUGUUUCCAGCAGCAACUGGCUAUGUCUCUUGUUUUCUUUAACAACCAUGGCCUUCCUCAAGCCCCACCCCCCUUCCUGCCCAUUUGUAUGCCGCCCUGAGGUCUGUACCGGAGCCCAGAGGGGGUCUGGGAACCAGUCCUCGUGGACUGCUUCUAGGUUCUGGUUGCCUGGGAAUAUGUAUGUGUGUGAUAGAGAUUUCGGCUGUGUAAAUACAUGGCUGUGAAUGUUCAGUUGUCUGGGUAAAUACACCUGUAAUGUGGGUUUCUGGGUCUACUUAGCUUGUCUGCAUUUCUGUACACCUGUGUGGGGUACAUGCAUGCUUAAGAGUGUCCAUGUGUGGAGGCUGGAGAUGGGGCUAAGUGGUAAAGUGCUUGCCCACCAUUAGCGGCACUAAGGGGGUCCUGGGUUUGAUCCCUGGAACCACAUGCCAAAAAAAAGUAAAUGUGUGGGACCACGUGUUUGUUCACUCAUGGCUUGUGUGUCCAUCAUGUGUCAGAGUGUGUGCACGCCAGGAGACUGAUCAGCGUCCUAUAUGUGUGGUUACCUAGACAUGUGGCUAUGGACACCAGCUGUAGUCAGGCUGGGAGUAUGCUUACGUGUGUACACACUGUGCCUGGCUCUGUAUCUCACUGUGUCAGGAGCCAAAACGGGCUCCUGCCUGUCUCAGCUCUCUGGGUGUGUGUUGGGCAGGGGGUGGGGGUGGGCGGCUGAGCCUCCACCAUCCCUGCAGGUUUCUAAUCUCCAGGCCUGUGACUGCAAGCACUGUGUCAUUGCACAUCAGCACUGUUUCCCUCCUACCUCUUCCUUUCUGUAGGUUAUCAGGGUCAUGGUGGCCCUGUCAGUCUGCUUUGCCACGGGUCAGCAUGUGCUUGUGGGUAUGCCUGUGAAUAUGUGGGUUUGUAUGACCUUAACGGUGUCUGCACCCUGGGCAUCUGUGUGUGUGUGUGUUGGUGGGCCCUUGCAAGAGCAGUACUAUGCCACUGCAUGUCUACACCCAUGUAGCUGUGUCAGUGUCACCCUGUGUGAGAAGUCCUGUGCUACAGUGUGCCUAGUGUGCGUGUCAGCACCAUGGAGUGUUUGUGUAACUGGUGUGCAUGCAUGCACAGGAGGCAGACCCUUUGUGAGACAGUGCGCCUGUGUCACUGUGUUUGUAUGUGCCUGCUUCCCUCUUCUCUCUCUCUCUCUCUCUCUCUCUCUCUCUCUCUCUGUAGGAGCCAGACAACUCCCCAAGCCUGGAUUAGGGACAAUUUAUCCACAGGCAGAGAAGGAGAAUUCCAACCUGCCAGAGCCUCCCUCCUCUGAUCUGUCCCCCUAGCCCUGUGGUUGGGUGGGCACAGAAAUGCAGCCCAGCAGCCCCCAAGCCCUCAGGGAGCCCCCACCUCUUCAGCUUCCCAGAGGCCCAGGAGGGUGGAAAACAUGGAAUUUUGGGUGGCUCUAGAGCCCUUCGGGGAGGGGGGUGAACAGGCUGCCCCCCCAUCCAGGCCUCCAUGGCUCAGCUCUUCUUGUCUUGGCCCUGUUCUCCUACAUAUGGUGUGUGUGUGGGGGGAUCUGCUUGGGGUCUGCCGGCCCAGAGGAUGAGCGAGCAGCUGCCCUCAGCCCCUCCAAAGCCUGAUAUUCCCCAACUGAUAAAUGCCAGCCCCCCUCCACGUAAAUAGCUGGGGAACUUGCAACAGUACCCACUCAAGCUGGGGAGGCAGAGGGCAGAGUGGUGGGGGGAAUGCGGCAAGGGGGAGCUGGGCUGGGCUGGGACUAAGGCUCCCUUCACGGUGCUCCAGGCGCAAGGCAGAAUCACAUGUUUCCCAUUAGCUGCUCUGGCCUCCUUGUUCAGGGGGUGUUGGCUGGGGGAGAUUUGUUCUGGUUGCAGACACCAGCCGAGACCACACAAGAGAGAGAGAGAGAAAGAAAGAGAGGGAGAGAGAGAGAGAGAGAGAGAGUCAUAGACAGGAAAACAGAGAUACACAGAGAGACAGAGACGUGAGAGACAAACUGUGAGAGGCAGGCACACACAAAUGAAAUAGCAGAAACAGCGACUGGCGGUGUGAGGCAGAACAGAGACAGCGGGGGAUAUAGGGAUAUAGGCAGACAGGG